UACGUAGGGUGCGAGCGUUGCCCGGAUUUAUUGGGCGUAAAGAGCUCGUAGGCGGUCUGUUGCGUCCGCUGUGAAAACUCGGGGCUUAACCCCGAGCCUGCAGUGGAUACGGGCAGACUAGAGGUAGGUAGGGGAGAAUGGAAUUCCCGGUGUAGCGGUGAAAUGCGCAGAUAUCGGGAGGAACACCGGUGGCGAAGGCGGUUCUCUGGGCCUUACCUGACGCUGAGGAGCGAAGCGUGGGGAGCGAACAGG
rnacentral:rRNA from 1 species